rnacentral:rRNA from 1 species
GUUUUAUCAAAAACAUGUCUUUUUGAAUUAAUUUAAAGUCUAACCUGCCCACUGAAAUUUUUAAAUGGCCGCAGUAUAUUAACUGUGCAAAGGUAGCAUAAUCAUUAGUCUUUUAAUUGAAGGCUGGUAUGAAUGGUUGGACGAGAUAUUAACUGUUUCAUUUGAAUUUAUAAUAGAAUUUUAUUUUUUAGUCAAAAAGCUAAAAUAAAUUUAAAAGACGAGAAGACCCUAUAAAUCUUUAUAUUUAUUUUAUUAUAAUUGUGUAGAUUUAUUUUGUUACAAUAAUUUUAAAUAUUUUAUUGGGGUGAUAUUAAAAUUUAAUAAACUUUUAAUUAAUUAAAUCAUUAAUGUAUGAAUAAUUGAUCCAUUAUUAGUGAUUAAAAAUUUAAGUUACUUUAGGGAUAACAGCGUAAUUUUUUUGGAGAGUUCAUAUCGAUAAAAAAGAUUGCGACCUCGAUGUUGGAUUAAGAUAUAAUUUUAGGUGUAGCCGCUUAAAUUUUGAGUCUGUUCGACUUUUAAAUUCUUACAUGAUCUGA